AACUAGACUGCACUAGACUGCACUAAGGCACACUAGACUGCAUCGGACUUCAUUCUACUGCAUCAGAAUGCAUCAGACUGCGCUAGACUGCAUCAGACUGCAUCAUGCUGCAUCAGACUCCAUCAGACUGCACUAGACUGCAUCGGACAACAUCAGACUGCAUCAUACUGCAUCAAACUGCAUCGGACAACAUCAGACUGCAUCAGACUGGUAUAUUACAAUAGUUAGUGUAAUAACACCACUAAAAUGGAGGAGCUUGUAUCAUGGAAAUUAUUAUUCGAAUGUGAGAGUGAUCGUAAUGAAGAGACUUUAAUUCCUAUGGCUGCAUGGCGUUAGCUCUCAAACAAAACUCUUCCCUACCAUUCUGCUAUAUUGGAGAGCAUACCAGUCGAAAAUGAUUGAAAAGGUGAAAAGUUUGGGAAGUGCCCUUGUGAUGGCUGGAGAUGGUCGCCACRACAGCAUGGGGCAUUCAGCUAAAUUUGGAGCAUACACAAUGUUUUGUUGCACUCUCCCAAUGAUUUUACACUUCGAGUUAAUCCAGAGAAACCAAGCAGGAAACAGCCCUGCCAUGGAGUUCAUGGGUUUCCAACAAGCAAUGACUUUUUUAAUGGGACUGGAAUUGGAGAUAUCAACAUUUAUUUCUGACAGGCACACAACUAUUACAAGCUGUAUGAAGAAAAAUUAUUCUAAUAUAACACACUAUUUUGACCUGUGGCACCUGAAG